GUUAAGCGACUAAGCGUACACGGUGGAUGCCCUGGCAGUCAGAGGCGAUGAAGGGCGUGCUAAUCUGCGAUAAGCGCCGGUAAGGUGAUAUGAACCGUUAUAACCGGCGAUACCCGAAUGGGGAAACCCAGUGUGAUUCGUCACACUAUCAUUAACUGAAUCCAUAGGUUAAUGAGGCGAACCGGGGGAACUGAAACAUCUAAGUACCCCGAGGAAAAGAAAUCAACCGAGAUUCCCCCAGUAGCGGCGAGCGAACGGGGAGGAGCCCAGAGCCUGAAUCAGCAUGUGUGUUAGUGGAAGCGUCUGGAAAGGCGCGCGAUACAGGGUGACAGCCCCGUACACAAAAGCGCAUGUGCUGUGAGCUCGAUGAGUAGGGCGGGACACGUGGUAUCCUGUCUGAAUAUGGGGGGACCAUCCUCCAAGGCUAAAUACUCCUGACUGACCGAUAGUGAACCAGUACCGUGAGGGAAAGGCGAAAAGAACCCCGGCGAGGGGAGUGAAAAAGAACCUGAAACCGUGUACGUACAAGCAGUGGGAGCCCCACCACUAAGCCAGUGGUGAACUCCACAUCCGCAUCCUUUGCUGAGGAUACGGUUAACGGAGCGAAAGCGACGUUCAACCGCAAAACAAGCAGAGGGGGCUUAGUGGUGGGGUGACUGCGUACCUUUUGUAUAAUGGGUCAGCGACUUAUAUUCUGUAGCAAGGUUAACCGUAUAGGGGAGCCGGAGGGAAACCGAGUCUUAACCGGGCGUUAAGUUGCAGGGUAUAGACCCGAAACCCGGUGAUCUAGCCAUGGGCAGGUUGAAGGUUGGGUAACACUAACUGGAGGACCGAACCGACUAAUGUUGAAAAAUUAGCGGAUGACCUGUGGCUGGGGGUGAAAGGCCAAUCAAACCGGGAGAUAGCUGGUUCUCCCCGAAAGCUAUUUAGGUAGCGCCUCGUGAAUUCAUCUCCGGGGGUAGAGCACUGUUUCGGCUAGGGGGCCAUCCCGGCUUACCAACCCGAUGCAAACUGCGAAUACCGGAGAAUGUUAUCACGGGAGACACACGGCGGGUGCUAACGUCCGUCGUGAAGAGGGAAACAACCCAGACCGCCAGCUAAGGUCCCAAAGUCAUGGUUAAGUGGGAAACGAUGUGGGAAGGCCCAGACAGCCAGGAUGUUGGCUUAGAAGCAGCCAUCAUUUAAAGAAAGCGUAAUAGCUCACUGGUCGAGUCGGCCUGCGCGGAAGAUGUAACGGGGCUAAACCAUGCACCGAAGCUGCGGCAGCGAACGUAUCACCCAAGACAACUUUACGGAGUUGACGAUUGACGGAGCGAAGCGACGUCAAAGCGUUCAUUAAAGUCGAGUUGGCUUAGGGAUACGUUCGUUGGGUAGGGGAGCGUUCUGUAAGCCUGUGAAGGUGUGUCGUGAGGCAUGCUGGAGGUAUCAGAAGUGCGAAUGCUGACAUAAGUAACGAUAAAGCGGGUGAAAAGCCCGCUCGCCGGAAGACCAAGGGUUCCUGUCCAACGUUAAUCGGGGCAGGGUGAGUCGACCCCUAAGGCGAGGCCGAAAGGCGUAGUCGAUGGGAAACGGGUUAAUAUUCCCGUACUUGGUGUUACUGCGAAGGGGGGACGGAGAAGGCUAUGUUGGCCGGGCGACGGUUGUCCCGGUUUAAGCGUGUAGGUGUGUGUUCCAGGUAAAUCCGGUUCACUUUAACACUGAGGCGUGACGACGAGGCACUACGGUGCUGAAGCAACAAAUGCCCUGCUUCCAGGAAAAGCCUCUAAGCAUCAGGUAACAUCAAAUCGUACCCCAAACCGACACAGGUGGUCAGGUAGAGAAUACCAAGGCGCUUGAGAGAACUCGGGUGAAGGAACUAGGCAAAAUGGUGCCGUAACUUCGGGAGAAGGCACGCUGACAC
rnacentral:rRNA from 1 species